rnacentral:lncRNA from 1 species
UCAUCUUCGCGCGGGCCGGCCGUAUGGUAUGGGAAUGCAAGCAUCCCGGCCUGACAAUUUGGAUAUAUAAGUUGGGCCGGGCGUGGAACUGGAUUCCAUGCAUUGCAUGCAUGGUUUCCGUCAGUUGGUGCCGAUAUGACCUCCCUACCAGCCGCGAUGAAGGUCCAAUAACGCGAGGAAUAUGAUACAGGGUUACCUGAUACGGGGCACGUCAGCUGGUCUAGUGUAGAUGAGGACCACGUCCCCAUCCCCUCGCGCUGCGCCAGUGGCCGGCGACUCCGGCGCCGACGCCGACCGCAUCAAAGCCAGCCAGAAAAGCCAGGGCCAGAUCGAGAGGGGGCGUCCGUACGUGUGGCAGCGCAAAAAUCCGGGCCGGAGCUUGCAGCUAGCUAAUGCUAAUGCUCACACGGACGGACGGACCACGGAGCCGCAUCAUCUCUCCC